UACAGAGGGGGCAAGCGUUGUUCGGAAUUACUGGGCGUAAAGGGCGCGUAGGCGGCCUUCUAAGUCAGACGUGAAAUCCCUCGGCUCAACCGGGGAACUGCGUCUGAUACUGAAAGGCUUGAAUCCGGGAGAGGAAUGCGGAAUUCCAGGUGUAGCGGUGAAAUGCGUGGAUAUCAGGAGGAACACCGGUGGCGAAGGCGGUUCUCUGGGCAUUACCUGACGCUGAGGAGCGAAAGUGUGGGGAGCGAACAGG
rnacentral:rRNA from 1 species